ACCCGCUGAACUUAAGCAUAUCAAUAAGCGGAGGAAAAGAAACCAACAGGGAUUGCCCUAGUAACGGCGAGUGAAGCGGCAACAGCUCAAAUUUGAAAUCUGGCGUCUUUGGCGUCCGAGUUGUAAUUUGCAGAGGGCGCUUUGGCAUUGGCAGCGGUCCAAGUUCCUUGGAACAGGACGUCACAGAGGGUGAGAAUCCCGUACGUGGUCGCUAGCCUUUACCGUGUAAAGCCCCUUCGACGAGUCGAGUUGUUUGGGAAUGCAGCUCUAAAUGGGAGGUAAAUUUCUUCUAAAGCUAAAUACUGGCCAGAGACCGAUAGCGCACAAGUAGAGUGAUCGAAAGAUGAAAAGCACUUUGGAAAGAGAGUUAAAAAGCACGUGAAAUUGUUGAAAGGGAAGCGCUUGCAGCCAGACUUGCCUGUAGUUGCUCAUCCGGGUUUUUACCCGGUGCACUCUUCUAUAGGCAGGCCAGCAUCAGUUUGGGCGGUUGGAUAAAGGUCCCUGUCAUGUACCUCUCUUCGGGGAGAACUUAUAGGGGAGACGACAUGCAACCAGCCCGGACUGAGGUCCGCGCAUCUGCUAGGAUGCUGGCGUAAUGGCUGU
rnacentral:rRNA from 1 species